rnacentral:rRNA from 1 species
AUACGGAAGACGCGAGCGUUAUCCGGAUUCAUUGGGUUUAAAGGGUGCGCAGGCGGCCGUGCAAGUCAGCGGUGAAAGCCCGGGGCUCAACCCCGGAAGUGCCGUUGAUACUGCAUGGCUGGAAUGCGGUCGAGGCGGGGGGAACGUGGCGUGUAGCGGGGAAAAGCGUAGAUAUGCCACAGAACGCCGAUAGCGGAGGAAGCUCGCCAGGCCUGCAUUGACGCUCGGGCACGAAAGCGUGGGGAUCGAACAGGAUUAGAUACCCUGGUAGUCCACGCCGUAAACGAUGGGCGCUCGUCGUCGGCGGCAGACAGUCGGCGGCCAAGCGAAAGCGAUAAGCGCCCCACCUGGGGAGUACGGUCGCAAGGCUGAAACUCAAAUGAAUUGACGGGG